UUAAAUUAAAGCUUUUUUAGUUUCUUAUUUACAUUAAGAAGAUAGUAUUAUUAUACUUAAUUUAAU
rnacentral:tRNA from 1 species